rnacentral:rRNA from 1 species
AACACGUGGGUAACCUGCCUUAUAUGGGGGAUAGCCUUUCGAAAGGAAGAUUAAUACCGCAUAAGAUUGUAGUAUCGCAUGAUAUAGCAAUUAAAGGAGCAAUUCGCUAUAAGAUGGACCCGCGUCGCAUUAGCUAGUUGGUGAGGUAAUGGCUCACCAAGGCGACGAUGCGUAGCCGACCUGAGAGGGUGAACGGCCACAUUGGGACUGAGACACGGCCCAGACUCCUACGGGAGGCAGCAUG